rnacentral:rRNA from 1 species
UACGAGAGGCCCAAACGUUAUUCGGAAUUACUGGGCUUAAAGAGUUCGUAGGCGGCAUGAAAAGCAGGGUGUGAAAGCCCUCGGCUCAACCGAGGAAUUGCGCUCUGAACUGUCGUGCUUGAGGAACCUAGAGGUGAGCAGAACAGAUGGUGGAGCGGUGAAAUGCGCAGAUAUCGGGAAGAGCACCCGUGGCUAAGGCGGCUCUCUAGUACGGUACUGACGCUGAGACGCGAAAGCGUGGGGAGCGAACAGG